rnacentral:rRNA from 1 species
GACGUAAGGUGCAAGCGUUGCUCGGAAUCAUUGGGCGUAAAGGGUGCGUAGGCGGCUUGGUAGGUCUGGUGUGAAAGCCCCGGGCUUAGCCCGGGAAGGGCGCUAGAAACUGCCGAGCUCGAGUGCCGGAGGGGAGAGUGGAAUUCCUGGUGUAGCGGUGAAAUGCGUAGAGAUCAGGAGGAAUACCGGUGGCGAAAGCGGCUCGCUGGACGGCAACUGACGCUGAGGCACGAAAGCGUGGGGAGCAAACAGG